rnacentral:rRNA from 1 species
AUUGAACGCUGGCGGCAUGCCUUACACAUGCAAGUCGAACGGUAACAGGUCUUCGGAUGCUGACGAGUGGCGAACGGGUGAGUAAUACAUCGGAACGUGCCUAGUAGUGGGGGAUAACUACUCGAAAGAGUGGCUAAUACCGCAUGAGAUCUACGGAUGAAAGCAGGGGAUCGCAAGACCUUGUGCUACUAGAGCGGCCGAUGGCAGAUUAGGUAGUUGGUGGGAUAAAAGCUUACCAAGCCGACGAUCUGUAGCUGGUCUGAGAGGACGAUCAGCCACCCUGGGACUGGGAAACGGCCCAGAGUCCGACGGGAGGCAGCAGUGGGGAAUUUUGGACAAGGGGCGCAAGCCUGAUCCAGCAAUGCCGCGUGCAGGAUGAAGGCCUUCGGGUUGUAAACUGCUUUUGUACGGAACGAAAAGCCCCGGGUUAAUACCCUGGGGUCAUGACGGUACCGUAAGAAUAGGCACCGGCUAACUACGUGCCAGUCGCCGCCGUAA